AAAGUGGAUGAAGACACCAUGGAGCUGAUCCGGGGGCCGGAUGGUGUCUGCAUCCGCUGCAA
ensembl:miRNA